rnacentral:rRNA from 1 species
CCUAACACAUGCAAGUCGAACGGUAACAGGAACAAACUUGCUUCUUUGCUGAGGAGUGGGGGACGGGUGAAUAAUGUCUGGAAAACUGCCUGAUGGAGGGGGAUAACUACUGAAAACGGUAGCUAAUACCGCAUAACGUCGCAAGACCACAGAGGGGGACCUUCUGGCCUCUUGCCAUCGGAUGUGCCCUGAUGGGAUUAUGUAGUAGGCGGGGUAACGGCUCACCUAGGCGACGAUCCCUAGCUGGUCUGAUAGGAUGACCAACCACACUGGAACUGAGGCACGGUCCAAACUCCUACGGGAAGCCCCAGUGGGGAAUAUUGCAC